rnacentral:ribozyme from 1 species
GGUUCGCUUGACUGUUCACCUCCCCGUGGUGCGAGCUGGACACUAUCCACUCGCAUUUUUCACCCAUUGUAUUGAUUUGCUUGUGGAUGGUGACUGAGAAACAGUC